rnacentral:rRNA from 1 species
AUUGAACGCUGGCGGCAGGCCUAACACAUGCAAGUCGAACGAGUGGCGGACGGGUGAGUAAUGUCUGGGAAACUGCCUGAUGGAGGGGGAUAACUACUGGAAACGGUAGCUAAUACCGCAUACCAUCAGAUGUGCCCAGAUGGGUUUAGCUUGUUGGUGGGGUAACGGCUCACCAAGGCGACGAUCCCUAGCUGGUCUGCGAGGAUGACCAGCCACACGGGAACUGAGAACGGUCCCAAAUCCCAAGGGAGGGAGGAGGGGGGAAUAUUGCAACAUGGGGGCAAUGCCGAUGCAGGCAAGCCCGGGUGUUGGAUGAGGCCUUCGGGUUGGAAAAUAAUUUUAGCGGGGAGGCGUUACCCGCAGAAGAAGCACCGGCUAACUCCGUGCCAGCAGCCGCGGUAAUUC